rnacentral:rRNA from 1 species
GAUGAACGCUAGCGGCAGACUUAAUACAUGCAAGUCGAGGGACAGCACAGGUAGCAAUACUGGGUGGUAACCGGCAAACGGGUGCGGAACACGUACACAACCUUCCUUUAAGUGGGGGAUAGCCCAGAGAAAUUUGGAUUAAUACCCCGUAAUAUAGUUGAAUGGCAUCAUUUGAUUAUUAUAGCUACGGCGCUUAAUGAUGGGUGUGCGGCUGAUUAGAUAGUUGGCGGGGUAACGGCCCACCAAGUCUACGAUCAGUAGCUGAUGUGAGAGCAUGAUCAGCCACACGGGCACUGAGACACGGGCCCGACUCCUACGGGAGGCAGCAGUAAGGAAUAUUGGUCAAUGGACGCAAGUCUGAACCAGCCAUGCCGCGUGAAGGAUUAAGGUCCUCUGGAUUGUAAACUUCUUUUAUUUGGGACGAAAAAGGGCCUUUCUAGGUCAACUGACGGUACCAGAUGAAUAGGCACCGGCUAACUCCGUGCCAGCAGCCGCCGUAAGAC